ensembl:rRNA 5S_rRNA 5S ribosomal RNA
AUCUGUGGUCACACCACUCUGAAUGCACUGUAUCUUGUCUGACCUCAGGAGCUAAGCAGAGUGGGGCAUGGUUAGUCCUUGGAUGAGAGAUUAUCUCUUUGACACACUGAUU